rnacentral:rRNA from 1 species
AUGGCCGAGAUCCAGAACGAGGGCCUUGGGGAGCACCGCCUCCGAGACCUCAACGACCAGAUCAACAAGCUCCUCCGCGAGCGCAGCCACUGGGAGCGCCGCAUCCUGGAGCUCGGAGGCCGCGACUACUCUCGGAGCGCCCUGAUGACCGACCUCGACGGCAACAUCGUCGCCAUCCCCAACCCCUCGGGCCGGGGCCCGGGCUACCGCUACUUUGGCGCUGCCAAGAAGCUCCCCGGCGUCCGUGAGCUAUUUGACAAGCUACCUGAGGUCCGCAAGCGCCGCACCCGCUACGGGAUCCACAAGCGCGUCAAUGCCAGCUACUGCGGAUACUAUUACUAUGACGACGAGGACGGUGUGCUUGAACCCCAUGAGGCUGCUGCUGAGAAGCGCAUGCGGCACGAGCUUGUCACGGGAGGCCAUGAAGAAUGUGGCGAGUGGCGAGGUGGCUGCAAGUGA